UACGUAGGUGACAAGCGUUGUCCGGAUUUACUGGGCGUAAAGAGCGCGCAGGCGGUCGAUCAAGUCGAGUGUGAAAGCCCCCGGCUCAACUGGGGAGGGUCAUUCGAUACUGAUCGACUCGAAGGCAGGAGAGGGUAGUGGAAUUCCCGGUGUAGUGGUGAAAUGCGUAGAGAUCGGGAGGAACACCUGUGGCGAAGGCGGCCACCUGGGCCGACCCUGACGCUGAGGCGCGAAGGCGUGGGGAGCGAACGGG
rnacentral:rRNA from 1 species